AUGAAAGUGGGUAAGUUAGGCAUGGAUUUUAUCACAGGAUUACCCAUGACUCGUUCAGGCUAUGACUCGAUUUGGGUUGUAGUCGAUCGAUUGAUGAAGGUAGCUCAUUUCAUCCCGGCAAAGACCACUUACACCAGUGCUAAAUUGGCAAAGAUAUACAUGACCAGGAUCGUAUGUCUACAUGGAGUUCCGAGGAGUAUCGUAUCAGAUAGAGGAACCCGGUUUACCUCAAAGUUCUGGAAGCAGUUGCAUGAAACUUUGGGUACCAGGCUAGAAUUUAGUACAACUUUUCAUCCACAGACAGAUGGAUAG
rnacentral:rRNA from 1 species